CGGGACGGGUGAGUAAUGUCUGGGAAACUGCCUGAUGGAGGGGGAUAACUACUGGAAACGGUAGCUAAUACCGCAUAACGUCGCAAGACCAAGAGGGGGACCUUCGGGCCUCUUGCCAUCGGAUGUGCCCAGAUGGGAUUAGCUAGUAGGUGGGGUAACGGCUCACCUAGGCGACGAUCCCUAGCUGGUCUGAGAGGAUGACCAGCCACACUGGAACUGAGACACGGUCCAG
rnacentral:rRNA from 1 species